AAUGGACGCAAGUCUGAUGGAGCAACGCCGCGUGAGUGAAGAAGGUUUUCGGAUCGUAAAGCUCUGUUGUUGGUGAAGAAGGAUAGAGGCAGUAACUGGUCUUUAUUUGACGGUAAUCAACCAGAAAGUCACGGCUAACUACGUGCCAGCAGCCGCGGUAAUACGUAGGUGGCAAGCGUUGUCCGGAUUUAUUGGGCGUAAAGCGAGCGCAGGCGGAAUGAUAAGUCUGAUGUGAAAGCCCACGGCUCAACCGUGGAACUGCAUCGGAAACUGUCAUUCUUGAGUGCAGAAGAGGAGAGUGGAACUCCAUGUGUAGCGGUGGAAUGCGUAGAUAUAUGGAAGAACACCAGUGGCGAAGGCGGCUCUCUGGUCUGCAACUGACGCUGAGGCUCGAAAGCAUGGGUAGCGAA
rnacentral:rRNA from 1 species